rnacentral:rRNA from 1 species
AGAGUUUGAUUCUGGCUCAGGACGAACGCUGGCGGCGUGCUUAACACAUGCAAGUCGAACGGACGUAGAAAUACGUUAGUGGCGGACGGGUGAGUAACGCGUGAGCAAUCUGCCUCUGUCAUCGGGAUAACACACGGAAACGAGUGCUAAUACCGAAUAAGACCACACUCCGGCAUCGGAGAGGGGUCAAAGAUUUUAUCGGACAGAGAUGAGCUCGCGUCCCAUUAGCUAGUUGGUGGGGUAACGGCUUACCAAGGCAACGAUGGGUAGCCGACCUGAGAGGGUGAUCGGCCACACUGGAACUGAGAUACGGUCCAGACUCCUACGGGAGGCAGCAGUGGGGAAUAUUGGGCAAUGGAGGCAACUCUGACCCAGCAACGCCGCGUGAAGGAUGAAGGUUUUCGGAUUGUAAACUUCUGUCGCGAGGGACGAAGAAUGACGGUACCUCGUAAGAAAGCCCCGGCUAACUACGUGCCAGCAGCCGCGGUAAUACGUAGGGGGCAAGCGUUGUCCGGAAUGACUGGGCGUAAAGGGAGUGUAGGCGGCAUAGCAAGUUAGAUGUGAAAGCCCGCAGCUUAACUGCGGAACUGCAUCUAAAACUGUUAAGCUUGAGUGCAGGAGAGGUAAGUGGAAUUCCUAGUGUAGCGGUGGAAUGCGUAGAUAUUAGGAGGAACAUCAGAGGCGAAGGCGACUUACUGGACUGUAACUGACGCUGAGGCUCGAAAGCGUGGGGAGCAAACAGGAUUAGAUACCCUGGUAGUCCACGCCGUAAACGAUGAA